rnacentral:rRNA from 1 species
ACUGGUGCCAGCAGCCNCGGUAAUUCCAGCUCCAAUAGCGUAUAUUAAAGUUGUUGCAGUUAAAAAGCUCGUAGUUGAAUUUCGGGGUUAGUAGGUUGGUCAUGCCUCUGGUAUGUACUGGUCUCACUGAUUCCUCCUUCCUGAUGAACCGUAAUGCCAUUAAUUUGGUGUUGCGGGGAAUUUGGACUGUUACUUUGAAAAAAUUAGAGUGUUUAAAGCAAGCUAACGCUUGAAUACAUUAGCAUGGAAUAAUGAAAUAGGACGUUCGAUCCUAUUUUGUUGGUUUCUAGGAUUGACGUAAUGAUUAAUAGGGAUAGUUGGGGGCAUUAGUAUUCAAUUGUCAGAGGUGAAAUUCUUGGAUUUAUUGAAGACUAACUACUGCGAAAGCAUUUGCCAAGGAUGUUUUCAUUAAUCAAGAACGAAAGUUAGGGGAUCGAAGACGAUCAGAUACCGUCGUAGUCUUAACCAUAAACUAUGCCGACUAGGGAUCGGAUGAUGUUAAUUUUUUAAUGACUCAUUCGGCGCCUUACG